AUUGAACGCUGGCGGCAUGCCUUACACAUGCAAGUCGAACGGCAGCGGGGGAGGAGCUUGCUUUUCCUGCCGGCGAGUGGCGAACGGGUGAGUAAUACAUCGGAACGUGCCCUGUAGUGGGGGAUAACUAGUCGAAAGAUUAGCUAAUACCGCAUACGACCUGAGGGUGAAAGUGGGGGACCGCAAGGCCUCAUGCUAUAGGAGCGGCCGAUGUCUGAUUAGCUAGUUGGUGGGGUAAAGGCCUACCAAGGCGACGAUCAGUAGCUGGCCUGGGAGGACGAUCAGCCACACUGGGACUGAGACACGGCCCAGACUCCUACGGGAGGCAGCAGUGGGGAAUUUUGGACAAUGGGCGAAAGCCUGAUCCAGCAAUGCCGCGUGUGUGAAGAAGGCCUUCGGGUUGUAAAGCACUUUUGUCCGGAAAGAAAUGGCUCUGGUUAAUACCUGGGGUCGAUGACGGUACCGGAAGAAUAAGGACCGGCUAACUACGUGCCAGCAGCCGCAGUAAGAC
rnacentral:rRNA from 1 species